CUUAAAAUUUUAAUUCAUCUUCAACAAAAAUAAAAAAUUACUAUUAAAUUUUAUUAUAAUUCUAAAGACAAAAAAUUUUUCUAAUUCUUCUUAAUUAUCAUCUAUAUAUUGAUCUAUCAUUAAAUUAAAAUUAAAUAUGCUAAAUUACAUUCAAAUAAUUCAUUAACAACUAUAUAUAAAAAAUAAAUUAAAUGAAAUUCAAAGUGUAAUUUCCACUUAAAGAACAAGAUUCUUUAAUAAUUAAGUACCGCCAAAUAAACUAACUUUAACUAUUACAUUAAUUACUAUUUAAAUUUCAUUAAUUUUUCUAGGGUAUCUAAUCCUAUUAACUUAAAUUAAUUAAAAUUGAAAAUUCAUAAUCAAAUUAAAAUCUAAAAAUUUCACUUAAAUAUUUUAAUUAAAAUCAAACCUAAAUUUCAAGUACAAGGAAAUUUUAAUUUCACCAAUCAUGUA
rnacentral:rRNA from 2 species